CAGCACCUCAAGUGGUCAGGAUGAUUAUUGGGCCUAAAGUAUCCGUAGCCGGCUCUGUAAGUUUUCGGUUAAAUCUGUAUGCUCAACAUACAGGCUGCCGGGAAUACUGCAGAGCUAGGGAGUGGGAGAGGUAGACGGUACUCGGUAGGAAGGGGUAAAAUCCUUUGAUCUAUUGAUGACCACCUGUGGCGAAGGCGGUCUACCAGAACACGUCCGACGGUGAGGGAUGAAAGCUGGGGGAGCAAACCGGAUUAGAGACCCGAGUAGUCC
rnacentral:rRNA from 1 species